rnacentral:rRNA from 1 species
UACGUAGGGGCUAGCGUUGUCCGGAUUUAUUGGGCGUAAAGAGCGUGUAGGCGGCCAGGUAGGUCUGGUGUGAAAACUCGAGGCUUAACCUCGAGAUGUCAUCGGAAACCAUCUGGCUAGAGUCCGGAAGAGGAGAGUGGAAUUCCUGGUGUAGCGGUGAAAUGCGCAGAUAUCAGGAAGAACACCAAUGGCGAAAGCAGCUCUCUGGGACGGUACUGACGCUGAGACGCGAAAGCGUGGGGGAGCGAAACAGG